CGUGCCGAUUUUCACCCCGAAACGGUGCAACUGGCCGUCCCGUUUGUUGCCCGUACCGUGCCCCGCCCGCCCGUGUACGAUUUGGGCGUGAAAGAUUGCGCCCGGGGUCGGAAAAACCGGUCACAAGUGUGUGCAGUGCAGUACGAGCGGCUUUCCUCCGUCAUCGUGUCACCGUCAUUUUUUCGCUCGUCUGCUGCUGCUCUCCUUGUACCGUGUGCGUGUGUGUGUGUGUACGUACGGUGUGUGCGGUGUAUGCGCGUGUGUGUGUGUGUGCGAGUGUGUUGAAUUCAGAGCUGCACGCGUUUUCGCUGUGCCGCAGCAAAUUGGGUAUCGAAUCGAACUUUCGGUGCGGAAAAGCGGAAGGACACAGCGCGAAACACGAACGUGUACGAUCCGGUCGCCUGGCACCCCGCCCCCCUCCCAUCCCUCGCUCCUGCAACACCCGGAAGUCGGUGAAAUCGCACAGUUGUGAGGAAUUAGAAACAGGGUGUCGUGAAAAUGAGUAGCUCUGAGGAGGUAUCAUGGAUUUCUUGGUUUUGUGGACUGCGCGGUAAUGAAUUCUUCUGUGAGGUGGACGAGGAUUACAUACAGGACAAAUUUAACCUGACCGGACUCAACGAACAGGUACCGAACUACCGUCAUGCGCUGGACAUGAUUCUGGACCUCGAGCCCGAGGAUGAAAUUGACGAUAAUCCCAACCAGUCGGACCUGAUCGAGCAGGCGGCGGAGAUGCUGUACGGUUUGAUACACGCUAGAUACAUUCUCACCAACCGUGGCAUAGCUCAAAUGAUAGAAAAAUAUCAAAGUGGAGACUUUGGGCACUGCCCACGCGUUUACUGUGAAAGUCAACCAAUGCUUCCGCUAGGUCUGUCGGAUGUACCCGGUGAGGCGAUGGUAAAGUCCUACUGUCCCAAAUGCAUCGACGUUUACACACCAAAGUCCUCUAGACAUCAUCAUACCGAUGGCGCAUACUUCGGAACUGGAUUCCCGCACAUGCUGUUCAUGGUACAUCCAGAGUACCGUCCUAAGCGUCCCGCAAAUCAAUUCAUACCACGUCUCUACGGUUUUAAGAUUCACUCCUUAGCGUAUCAAAUCCAACUGCAGGCAGCAGCGAACUUUAAGGCACCGCUUCGAGGGGUAAAUGGCACCGUGGUGACUUACACAAAUCCAAAGUUAAACUAAUAACCAAUUUGUAAUGCAAAACUGUUCUCUCUCCGCAUUCGUGUAUCGUGCUCCUCCUCUGUGCAAUGGCAUCAGUUUUUCUUUUGUCGGGUCGUUUUUUUUUUUCAUACCAUUGCACGAUUAUUCUCCAAUCAAAAAGUCCUACUGGAAUUCCUAUUGCAAGUUUGCUAACCCAGAUUUUUAAGACGAUCCUAUAAGAGAACCCUAUUUCUAGUAAUUUCAUUGAAAAUGAAUCAUUUCGGCAUACAUUUUGGAGACAAUCACGUUUACUCGGAUGUCUUGUUUAUCUGAAAACAAACAAGAUACAUUCUUGAUGAUUAUAUAUCAAUUGCAAUUUUUAAUUGUUGCAAUAUUUUUCGUUAUUACUUGCGAUUUAUACUACUACACAUAUUUUCUUCCUUUUACAUUAUCAUAUCCGCGUUGCUUGUCUUUGUUGAUUGAAACCAAAAUGUUCAAUAAACUGCAAGCACUGAAAUAUUCACCUAGUAUUUAGUUUCUUAUAAUUUUGUUUCCUCAUGCUUUCCUUUAAUUUAAUAAUUACGUGUCCAUGUCCACAAAAUAGUGCGUGUACAGGCGUUUUCCGUUCCACCCGAUUGCCGUAUUUUUCUAGAUAAUUCGUCGAUCACUGAUCGAAGAUACAGCUUUGUGUGAGAAUUUGUGUGCAAAAUUGGUUACUUGAAUGGAAUGGCCGCUCCGCCAUCCGAUUUUUUUUUUGUUUACUGUAUUAAACGAAUUUUCUCUUCUCUUCCCUAUGUGUUUUGCGGUAUCUAAAAACAACACCGUGUUUUGUGUGCGUGUAAUGCCGCAUGACGUAUUUGAAUAAUUGUCCCGUUAUAACAUCCAACGAAUCAUCCUCCAAACACGCUCCCAAAACAAUACCGACGUCAUCUUCAUCGUUCCAAAAACUGAAGAGCUCGGCGAAGGGCAUCGACAACUGAACCGCAAGCCGCCGAGACUAUAUCGAAAAGAUAGUUUGAGCCAGCCGCCACCCUCUCGAUAUAGGAUCAACCAAGCAACUAAGCAACCAUCCCCUUGCUACUAAUACAACCAUCAUCAUCCAUCCCCUCCCCCCUUACAUCAAGCGGAAAGCGUGUUCGUGUGUGUGUUUGCGUGUGUGUGUGCGUGCGUGCAUGCGUGCGAGUGUUAGAGAUGCAAAAGCGGAAGCCAGAUCCCCCAGGGGGGAAGAUACAAUCGCGGAAAAGUGUUUCGUGAAUUGUCCUAGCAGAACACGCAUCAUAUGUAAGAUGAUGUAAGCGUCGUUUAGUAAAGUUUUGUUAAUAGUUUUUUUUUAUAAAAUCACACAUUGAUUUAUUCGCGCAUCCACAUGGAUGGAAUGUAUCUGUGCGUGUUGAAUAAUGUUUUUUUCCCCUGCCGUCUGAGAAGAAAGUGUUUUUGAGCACACGUGCUUUAGAAACAAAUAUGAAAACAAACGGAUCCACUAGACGCAGUGCAUCUCCCCCUUUCCACUCGAUGUCUCGGUGCGAUCGAUAGUGAAAAGUGUGUUCUAGGCAUCUUGUGCUCGUUGCGCUGGGAACAUUCACGAUACAUAGCAGGCGAACACGUGUUAUACGCAUGCACAUCCACUCACACACACACACACACACACACACACACACACACACACACACACACACACACACACAUACAUUGAGCGGAAAAUCGAUCAACUGCAGCAGCAGAAGCAAAAGUAGUAGCAGAUAGAAACACGUAGGGAGAGCGCAAAA